ACCAAACUGAAUAAUCUGGGUACUCUGCACACAACGUCUUGCCCCCUGUUUGGGUUUGCUUGUGAACGCCUUGCGUUAAAAGGCAAAUGUGAUCUGAAAUGCAAGCACAAAGAUAUCGAGUGCCAAUCAUGGAGGAGUUUGCACUGUUUUCAAAGGAAAUUAACUGUUUCAUGGUGAGUGUGCGAUAUACUUAGAUCCACAUGCAACCCCAGUAGUCCACCCACCUAGAUGGAUUCCUUUCGCACUAUGCAGCUGUCUCAAAGAGGAACUUGAAAGCAUGGAUAUGUAAGAUAUCAUAAUCAAGGUCCCAGUGUCAACUGAAUGGGUUUACUCUAUUAUUGUAGCUAAAAAACCAUGUACAGGCAAACUACGGGUGAGUCUAGACCAAGAAAGACCUUAACAUGGCCAUAAAAGAACCUCAUUACCCGUUAGUUACCAUAGAGGACAUAACAUGCUAGUAAGGAUGCUGAGCAUCGGAGCAGACUGCCACACCAAGCGGAC